rnacentral:rRNA from 1 species
UACAGAGGUCUCAAGCGUUGUUCGGAUUCAUUGGGCGUAAAGGGUGCGUAGGUGGCGUCGUAAGUCGGGUGUGAAAUCUCGGGGCUUAACUCCGAAACUGCAUUCGAUACUGCCGUGCUUGAGGACUGGAGAGGAGACUGGAAUUUACGGUGUAGCGGUGAAAUGCGUAGAUAUCGUAAGGAAGACCAGUGGCGAAGGCGGGUCUCUGGACAGUUCCUGACGCUGAGGCACGAAGGCCAGGGGAGCAAACGGG